rnacentral:rRNA from 1 species
UACCUGGUUGAUCCUGCCAGUAAUCAUAUGCUUGUCUGAAAGAUUAAGCCAUGCAUAUCUAAGUACAUGCCGAAAUAAGGCGAAACCGCGAAUGGCUCAUUAAAUCAGUUAUGGUUCCUUAGAUCGGUUCUUCCUACUUGGAUAACUGUGGCAAUUCUAGAGCUAAUACAUGCAGUGAGCCUGAAGCCCUUUGGGCGACGGGUGCUUUUAUUAGACCAAGAUCGAUCGGGUUUCGGCCCGUAUUGUGUGGUGACUCUGGAUAACUUUGUGCUGAUCGCACGGCCACGAGCCGGCGACGUUUCUUUCAAGUGUCUGCCUUAUCAACUUUCUAUGGUAGGUUACUUGCUUACCAUGGUUGUUACGGGUAACGGAGAAUCAGGCUUCGAUUCCGGAGAGGGAGCCUGAGAAACGGCUACCACAUCCAAGGAAGGCAGCAGGUGCGCAAAUUACCCACUCCCGGCACGGGGAGGUAGUGACGAAAAAUAACAAUACGGGGCCUCUUUUGAGGCCCCGUAAUUGAAAUGAGUACACUCUAAAUCCUUUAACGAGGAUCAAUUGGAGCGCAAGUCUGGUGCCAGCAGCCGCGGUAAUUCCAGAUCCAAUAGCGUAAACUAAAGCUGCUGCGGUUAAAAAGCUCGUAGUUGGAUCUCAGUUCCAGACGAGUGGGGCAUCUACCCGAUGCGACGGCUCGGACUGAACAUCAUGCCGGUCCUUUCUUGGUGCACUUCCUUGUGUGCCUCGAGAAGGCCGGUGCUUUUACUUUGAAAAAAUUAGAGUGCUCAACGCAGGCGAGUCGCCUGAAUAAACUUGCAUGGAAUAAUAGAACAAGACCUCGUUUCUGUUGUGUUGGUUUUUGGAAUACGAGGUAAUGAUUAAGAGGGACAGACGGGGGCAUUCGUAUUGCGGCGCUAGAGGUGAAAUUCUUGGACCGUCGCAAGACGAACUACUGCGAAAGCAUUUGCCAAGAAGGUUUUCUUUGAUCAAGAACGAAAGUCAGAGGUUCGAAGGCAAUCAGAUACCGCCCUAGUUCUGACCAUAAACGAUGCCAACCAGCGAUCCGCCUGAGUUACUCAAAUGACUCGGCGGGCAGCUUCCGGGAAACCAAUGUAUUUGGCUUCCAGGGGAAGUAUGGUUGCAAAGCUGAAACUUAAAGGAAUUGACGGAAGGGCACCACCAGGAGUGGAGCCUGCGGCUUAAUUUGACUCAACACGGGAAAACUUACCCGGCCCGGACACUGGGAGGAUUGACAGAUUGAGAGCUCUUUCUUGAUUCGGUGGAUGGUGGUGCAUGGCCGUUCUUAGUUGGUGGAGCGAUUUGUCUGGUUAAUUCCGAUAACGAACGAGACUCUAGCCUAUUAAAUAGGUGCGGGGUUCCCAGCACCUUACAACCUUCUUGGAGGGACAAGCGGCUCCUAGCCGCACGAAACAGAGCAAUAACAGGUCUGUGAUGCCCUUAGAUGUCCGGGGCCGCACGCGCGCUACAUUGAAGGAAGCAGCGUGUCUUUAUCCCUGUCUGAAAAGACUGGGUAACCCCUGCAACUUCUUUCGUGAUUGGGAUAGGGGCUUGCAAUUGUUCCCCUUGAACGAGGAAUUCCCAGUAAGCGCGAGUCAUAAGCUCGCGUUGAUUACGUCCCUGCCCUUUGUACACACCGCCCGUCGCUACUACCGAUUGAAUGAUUUAGUGAGGUCUUCGGACCGAUGUCCGGCGCGGCCUCUCGGUUGCGCCGGUCUGUUGGAAAGAUGACCAAACUUGAUCAUUUAGAGGAAGUAAAAGUUGUAACAAGGUUUCCGUAGGUGAACCUGUGGAAGGAUCAUUA